NAUAUGUAUUUCUAUAUUUUAUUUAUUAUUAUUAUAUAUAUAAGUAGUAAAAAGUAGAAUAAUAGAUUUGAAAUAUUUAUUAUAUAGAUUUAAAGAGAUAAUCAUGGAGUAUAAUAAUUAAAUUUAAUAAAUUUAAUAUAACUAUUAAUAGAAUUAGGUUACUAAUAAAUUAAUAACAAUUAAUUUUAAAACCUAAAGGUAAACCUUUAUAUUAAUAAUGUUAUUUUUUAUUAUAUUUAUAAUAAGAAUAAUUAUUAAUAAUAAUAAACUAAGUGAACUGAAACAUCUAAGUAACUUAAGGAUAAGAAAUCAACAGAGAUAUUAUGAGUAUUGGUGAGAGAAAAUAAUAAAGGUCUAAUAAGUAUUAUGUGAAAAAAAUGUAAGAAAAUAGGAUAACAAAUUCUAAGACUAAAUACUAUUAAUAAGUAUAGUAAGUACCGUAAGGGAAAGUAUGAAAAUGAUUAUUUUAUAAGCAAUCAUGAAUAUAUUAUAUUAUAUUAAUGAUGUACCUUUUGUAUAAUGGGUCAGCAAGUAAUUAAUAUAAGUAAAACAAUAAGUUAUAAAUAAAUAGAAUAAUAUAUAUAUAUAUAAAAAUAUAUUAAAAUAUUUAAUUAAUAUUAAUUGACCCGAAAGCAAACGAUCUAACUAUGAUAAGAUGGAUAAACGAUCGAACAGGUUGAUGUUGCAAUAUCAUCUGAUUAAUUGUGGUUAGUAGUGAAAGACAAAUCUGGUUUGCAGAUAGCUGGUUUUCUAUGAAAUAUAUGUAAGUAUAGCCUUUAUAAAUAAUAAUUAUUAUAUAAUAUUAUAUUAAUAUUAUAUAAAGAAUGGUACAGCAAUUAAUAUAUAUUAGGGAACUAUUAAAGUUUUAUUAAUAAUAUUAAAUCUCGAAAUAUUUAAUUAUAUAUAAUAAAGAGUCAGAUUAUGUGCGAUAAGGUAAAUAAUCUAAAGGGAAACAGCCCAGAUUAAGAUAUAAAGUUCCUAAUAAAUAAUAAGUGAAAUAAAUAUUAAAAUAUUAUAAUAUAAUCAGUUAAUGGGUUUGACAAUAACCAUUUUUUAAUGAACAUGUAACAAUGCACUGAUUUAUAAUAAAUAAAAAAAAAAAUAAUAUUUAAAAUCAAAUAUAUAUAUAUUUGUUAAUAGAUAAUAUACGGAUCUUAAUAAUAAGAAUUAUUUAAUUCCUAAUAUGGAAUAUUAUAUUUUUAUAAUAAAAAUAUAAAUACUGAAUAUCUAAAUAUUAUUAUUACUUUUUUUUUAAUAAUAAUAAUAUGGUAAUAGAACAUUUAAUGAUAAUAUAUAUUAGUUAUUAAUUAAUAUAUGUAUUAAUUAAAUAGAGAAUGCUGACAUGAGUAACGAAAAAAAGGUAUAAACCUUUUCACCUAAAACAUAAGGUUUAACUAUAAAAGUACGGCCCCUAAUUAAAUUAAUAAGAAUAUAAAUAUAUUUAAGAUGGGAUAAUCUAUAUUAAUAAAAAUUUAUCUUAAAAUAUAUAUAUUAUUAAUAAUUAUAUUAAUAANNNNNNNNNNAAUAAUAUAUAUAAUUAUAUUAUAUAUUUUUUUUUUAUAUAAUAUAAACUAAUAAAGAUCAGGAAAUAAUUAAUGUAUACCGUAAUGUAGACCGACUCAGGUAUGUAAGUAGAGAAUAUGAAGGUGAAUUAGAUAAUUAAAGGGAAGGAACUCGGCAAAGAUAGCUCAUAAGUUAGUCAAUAAAGAGUAAUAAGAACAAAGUUGUACAACUGUUUACUAAAAACACCGCACUUUGCAGAAACGAUAAGUUUAAGUAUAAGGUGUGAACUCUGCUCCAUGCUUAAUAUAUAAAUAAAAUUAUUUAACGAUAAUUUUAUUAAAUUUAGGUAAAUAGCAGCCUUAUAAUGAGGGUUAUAAUGUAGCGAAAUUCCUUGGCCUAUAAUUGAGGUCCCGCAUGAAUGACGUAAUGAUACAACAACUGUCUCCCCUUUAAGCUAAGUGAAAUUGAAAUCGUAGUGAAGAUGCUAUGUACCUUCAGCAAGACGGAAAGACCCUAUGCAGCUUUACUGUAAUUAGAUAGAUCGAAUUAUUGUUUAUUAUAUUCAGCAUAUUAAGUAAUCCUAUUAUUAGGUAAUCGUUUAGAUAUUAAUGAGAUACUUAUUAUAAUAUAAUGAUAAUUCUAAUCUUAUAAAUAAUUAUUAUUAUUAUUAUUAAUAAUAAUAAUAUGCUUUCAAGCAUAGUGAUAAAACAUAUUUAUAUGAUAAUCACUUUACUUAAUAGAUAAAAUUCUUAAGUAAUAUAUAAUAUAUAUUUUAUAAAUUAUAUAUAUAAUAUAAGAGACAAUCUCUAAUUGGUAGUUUUGAUGGGGCGUCAUUAUCAGCAAAAGUAUCUGAAUAAGUCCAUAAAUAAAUAUAUAAAAUUAUUGAAUAAAAAAAAUAAUAUAUAUUAUAUAUAUUAAUUAUAAAUUGAAAUAUGUUUAUAUAAAUUUAUAUUUAUUGAAUAUAUUUUAGUAAUAGAUAAAAAUAUGUACAGUAAAAUAGUAAGGAAAACAAUAAUAACUUUCUUAAAAAAAAUAAAAAUGGAAAGAAUUAAAUUAAUAUAAUGGUAUAACUGUGCGAUAAUUGUAACACAAACGAGUGAAACAAGUACGUAAGUAUGGCAUAAUGAACAAAUAACACUGAUUGUAAAGGUUAUUGAUAACGAAUAAAAGUUACGCUAGGGAUAACAGGGUAAUAUAACGAAAGAGUAGAUAUUGUAAGUUAUGUUUGCCACCUCGAUGUCGACUCAACAUUUCCUCUUGGUUGUAAAAGCUAAGAAGGGUUUGACUGUUCGUCAAUUAAAAUGUUACGUGAGUUGGGUUAAAUACGAUGUGAAUCAGUAUGGUUCCUAUCUGCUGAAGGAAAUAUUAUCAAAUUAAAUCUCAUUAUUAGUACGCAAGGACCAUAAUGAAUCAACCCAUGGUGUAUCUAUUGAUAAUAAUAUAAUAUAUUUAAUAAAAAUAAUACUUUAUUAAUAUAUUAUCUAUAUUAGUUUAUAUUUUAAUUAUAUAUUAUCAUAGUAGAUAAGCUAAGUUGAUAAUAAAUAAAUAUUGAAUACAUAUUAAAUAUGAAGUUGUUUUAAUAAGAUAAUUAAUCUGAUAAUUUUAUACUAAAAUUAAUAAUUAUAGGUUUUAUAUAU
rnacentral:rRNA from 1 species